rnacentral:lncRNA from 1 species
GGUGGUCUCAGAUGUAGGUGUAGACCUGCUGAUGGUAGUGGGGAGUGUGGUCACCAAGGUGGAUAGGGGGGUGGUGUUUGUGAUACCACUGGUGAUUGUUUCUGUGCUCAGGACAGGUGUGGAAGAUAAAAUGGUCCUAGUGGGUGAUGACAAUGUAUUAGUGGCUGUGGGCUGGGAGGCGGUCGUUGUCAUAGAAGUCACUGUAUUUGUGGAAGUGAUUGAAGAAGUGAUGGGGGAAGUGGAAGUCACUGCUGUUUUGAGAGUAGUAAAUACUGGGGUUGGGGACGUGGUUGUAUGGAUGCUUCCAGUGGGCAGGGGAGUCCUUUCUGUGGUUCUAGUUGUAGACGAGAUUGUAGUGUGGAAGGUUGUGUCUGUGGCUGACACAGAGGAGGGUGUCACUGUCACUAUGGGAGUUUCCCUUGCAGUGGUGGUAGAGGGAGAAGAUGUCAUGGCUGACGUUCCUUUCUCAGUAGUGGUCAUAGAGUAAGUACUGGUGACGGUGGUCACUGGCUUCUGUGUCACGGGAGUCGAGGUGUAAGAGCUGGUGAAGGCCACCUGCGUCGUGGUCACACAGAUGGAGGUGGGGUGGGAGAUGGUGAUUAUAAAGCUCGUUGGAUACACGCACUCAGUGGUGGCUGAAUAGACCAACACGGUGGGUGGAGUGGUUUCAACCUUGAAGGCAAACUUGGACGUCGGGGUGGUUGAGGUGUUGGAACUGACUGGAGAGUUGAGCAAUGUUUCAGAGAUGAGUGUGUCAUGGGGGGAGGUAGUGAGUGUCAUAGGUGCAUUUUCCCUGUGGCCAGGAGCAGGAGAGGCGAGCUGGGGGACACCAAGUGGCCACCCAGCCAGGUCUCUGGAGUGUGGAGAAUUGCUGAGCACAGCGCUGGCUGCUUCUGCUCUGGGGAAAGGCACUUGAGAGAUGGAUGUGGCCGUGGAUAAAGUUCCUGUGGCCCACGGGGAGGCCUUGAGCAUCCAGAGGAGGCCGAGGAGCCCCAACAGCUGCAUGGGCCCAGCGGGCAGGGGGCUGGGGCAGA